rnacentral:tRNA from 1 species
GGUACGUUAGUUCAGAUGGUUAGAAUGCCUGCCUGUCACGCAGGAGGUCACGGGUUCGAGUCCCGUACGUACCG